AAAGGAGGGGCGAGCUCGAUUUGAAAUCUCACCUAGUGUGCGAGUUGUAAAUUGCAGGUUGGAGUCUCGGGUUAGACGUGUGUGCAAGUCCCUUGGAACAGGGUGCCACUGAGGGUGAGAGCCCCGUAGCGUGCAUGUCGACACCUGUGAGGCCCUUCUGACGAGUCGAGUUGUUUGGGAAUGCAGCUCUAAGUGGGUGGUAAAUUCCAUCUAAGGCUAAAUAUUGGCGAGAGACCGAUAGCGAACAAGUACUGUGAAGGAAAGAUGAAAAGCACUUUGAAAAGAGAGUGAAACAGCACGUGAAAUUGUUGAAAGGGAAGGGUAUUGGGCUCGACAUGGGAUUUACGCAUCGGUGCCUCUCGGGGGCGGCGCUCUGGGUUUUUCCUGGGGCAGCAUCGGUUUUCGGUGCAGGAUAAGGACAAUUGGAAUGUGGCUCCUCGGAGUGUUAUAGCCUUUUGUAGAUGCUGCGUAUGGGGACCGAGGGCUGCGGCGGACUCGUUUCGUCUCGGAUGCUGGCACAACGGCGCAAUACC
rnacentral:rRNA from 1 species